rnacentral:rRNA from 1 species
UACGAGGGGUGCAAGCGUUGCUCGGAAUUAUUGGGCGUAAAGGGUAGGUAGGUGGUCUCAUUUGUCUGGGGUGAAAGCCCGGAGCUUAACUCCGGAAGUGCCUCAGAAACGGUGAGACUCGAGUACUGGAGAGGGUCGUGGAAUUCCCGGUGUAGCGGUGAAAUGCGCAGAUAUCAGGAAGAACACCCGUGGCGAAAGCGGCUCUCUGGAACGGUACUGACGCUGAGACGCGAAAGCGUGGGGAGCGAACAGG